rnacentral:lncRNA from 1 species
GGAAGCGCGGGCGUCUGCCCUCCCGCCGCCCGUUUCGAGGUCGUGGAGAGGAGAGGAAAUGGCCCCGGAGCAACCACGCAGCUGCCUGAUCGUCUGGCCCGACCGCGCCUCAGUAGAUUUGGGUCCUGGUCUGAGCAGCCGGGCUGGUGCGGGUGUCCUCACUAGGAUAAUGAAUACAGCUCCACUACCUAUACUACCCAAGACGACCCCUCACACGCUCUGCGAGGAAACCGGUCUUCGGACCUGUGCCCCCAACCUGGUGGCCUGCACCAGUGAUAGGGCAAUUUGACUCCUAGUCGUGGGGGCUUGUGAUACUAUCUCUACCUACAGACACCCACUGCCUGUCACUGCACAGUAAACCUUCCUGCUCCACAGGGCUGCCUCCCCACUGGAAUUCCCACCGUGUUCCUGGUUCUGGAAAGUCUGUUUUCCCGGGUGGCCAUGAUACCCUCCCUACUACUCCACUUCUUCCUUGCAGUCACAAGCAGCAGAGUGGAAUGGGAGCUCGACACUGACUAGGCCUUUAACAGUCCUAAGUGCAACAGAAGAGCUGCAGCUUUCAGACAGACAGAGUGAAAGGUUUCUCAUUAGCAUCCCUCAACCUCGGGAAGCUUCUCCCGGUCCCGAAGGCUAAGAGCCUUUUCCAGCAGCCAGCCUUGCAAUGCUACCCUUCUCCUCCACCUCUGAAGCUUUGAGAUUGGGCCACCAUGUUGGACUAGGAUUGCAGAAGGCCAUUGCUGGUUCUGCACUUUCCUUUGAGCUUAGACGUCACAACUCAUCAUGCAAUUGUGAUUAUUACAGUCCUUUCUGCAGUGCCAGUGUACCCACCAGGCUGGACACUUCAAAAUGGCAGGGCUAUAUCUGUGUGGCUACUACUACCUUGCAGCAAGGCUUGUUGAGCCCUUACAGUACUAUAGAUGUCUUGGCCAGCUGGUUUGUUGUUAUAGCGACAGUGGACUGCAGUGUUCUGCUGAGACAACCGAGAAUUCCUCCAGACAUGACUCAAACAUCCCCAAGUGACAAAAUUACCUAGAAUUGAUAGCCUCCUCUCUCUCCACAGCCUAUCCUGGCGUCCCUGAAAUAAAUGAAUGCACAGCUCUGCUCUGUCUUA